rnacentral:rRNA from 1 species
UGGGGAAUUUUGGACAAUGGGCGCAAGCCUGAUCCAGCCAUGCCGCGUGUGUGAAGAAGGCCUUCGGGUUGUAAAGCACUUUCGGACGGAACGAAAUCGCAGGGGUUAAUAUCCUCUGUGGAUGACGGUACUGUAAGAAGAAGCACCGGCUAACUACGUGCCAGCAGCCGCGGUAAUACGUAGGGUGCGAGCGUUAAUCGGAAUUACUGGGCGUAAAGCGUGCGCAGGCGGUCUCGCAAGUCGAGUGUGAAAUCCCCGAGCUUAACUUGGGAAUUGCGCUCGAAACUAUGAGGCUAGAGUGUGGCAGAGGGAGGUGGAAUUCCACGUGUAGCGGUGAAAUGCGUAGAUAUGUGGAGGAACACCGAUGGCGAAGGCAGCCUCCUGGGCUAACACUGACGCUCAUGCACGAAAGCGUGGGGAGCAAACAGG